AUCCACCUGACGAGUCCAAAAUAAGACGAAACGCGCGCCCUGGAU
rnacentral:hammerhead_ribozyme from 1 species